AAGGAUGUGAGAGAGGAGAAGAGUUAGAACUGCAUGGAAAUAUAUUUCAUUCAUGAUCAUUUGGAUGGAUCUCUCCUACGAAGCAAUCGAAUAUAUGGAUCUGCAUCCUUUCCGUUCCUAGGAAUUCUUAUUUUACCGCUUGACUAUCCAAUCUACAUGCUUUUUGUUACUGUCUUCCAUGUCACAGCCUGUUCAAUAGAUCUUGCCUCUUUGUGCUUUAAUGGAAGUAUUCUUGUUUGUACAGAUGCCCCCAUCACAUCAAGAUCUUCAACGGAAUCAUCGUAUACUUCUAUAUAUAGGAACUAAAGGGGUCCUUAAGACGACAGAAUAAUCGACUGAAAAACCCUGUGAGGAACCAUCGACUGCUCCAUCAUUGAAAUUAAACUCUGCUUCGUCUCCCACUCUAGGAAAACUAUUUCAUUAAUAAGAAUCCUUCAGUGUCCUUGAUUUAUAUAAUGCAGAAAUCACUCAUCUCGAUCAUAUUUACUUCUAUCCUAUUGAUAAGUUGGACUUCGUGAUAUACGGUCUAUUUGGUUAAUUAUACGACUUAGACACUCCUAAGCCUUCCUUAUUACCUGUGAGUCGGAUUUAUCAUUCAAAAACAAGUGGAAGAUGAUUCUAUACUCGUAAAGAUAAUGUGUUUCUCUUUUCUCUAUAUUUUGGUCGUCUGGAAAGCAUAUUCUAUUCUACUAUUACAAACAAAUAGUUACAAGGAAAUAUAUAUAUUGAAAUAA
rnacentral:lncRNA from 1 species